CUGGCGGCGUGCUUAACACAUGCAAGUCGAACGGAAAGGCCCUGCUUUUGUGGGGUGCUCGAGUGGCGAACGGGUGAGUAACACGUGAGUAACCUGCCCUUGACUUUGGGAUAACUUCAGGAAACUGGGGCUAAUACCGGAUAGGAGCUCCUGCUGCAUGGUGGGGGUUGGAAAGUUUCGGCGGUUGGGGAUGGACUCGCGGCUUAUCAGCUUGUUGGUGGGGUAGUGGCUUACCAAGGCUUUGACGGGUAGCCGGCCUGAGAGGGUGACCGGCCACAUUGGGACUGAGAUACGGCCCGGACUCCUACGGGAGGCAGCAGUGGGGAAUAUUGCACAAUGGGCGGAAGCCUGAUGCAGCAACGCCGCGUGCGGGAUGACGGCCUUCGGGUUGUAAACCGCUUUCGCCUGUGACGAAGCGUGAGUGACGGUAAUGGGUAAAGAAGCACCGGCUAACUACGUGCCAGCAGCCGCGGUGAUACGUAGGGUGCGAGCGUUGUCCGGAUUUAUUGGGCGUAAAGGGCUCGUAGGUGGUUGAUCGCGUCGGAAGUGUAAUCUUGGGGCUUAACCCUGAGCGUGCUUUCGAUACGGGUUGACUUGAGGAAGGUAGGGGAGAAUGGAAUUCCUGGUGGAGCGGUGGAAUGCGCAGAUAUCAGGAGGAACACCAGUGGCGAAGGCGGUUCUCUGGGCCUUUCCUGACGCUGAGGAGCGAAAGCGUGGGGAGCGAACAGGCUUAGAUACCCUGGUAGUCCACGCUGUAAACGGUGGGUACUAGGUGUGGGGUCCAUUCCACGGGUUCCGUGCCGUAGCUAACGCUUUAAGUACCCCGCCUGGGGAGUACGGCCGCAAGGCUAAAACUCAAAGGAAUUGACGGGGCCCCGCACAAGCGGCGGAGCAUGCGGAUUAAUUCGAUGCAACGCGUAGAACCUUACCUGGGUUUGACAUGGAUCGGGAGUGCUCAGAGAUGGGUGUGCCUCUUUUGGGGUCGGUUCACAGGUGGUGCAUGGCUGUCGUCAGCUCGUGUCGUGAGAUGUUGGGUUAAGUCCCGCAACGAGCGCAACCCUUGUUCACUGUUGCCAGCACGUUAUGGUGGGGACUCAGUGGAGACCGCCGGGGUCAAUUCGGAGGAAGGUGGGGAUGACGUCAAGUCAUCAUGCCCCUUAUGUCCAGGGCUUCACGCAUGCUACAAUGGCUGGUACAGAGAGUGGCGAGCCUGUGAGGGUGAGCGAAUCUCGGAAAGCCGGUCUCAGUUCGGAUUGGGGUCUGCAACUCGACCUCAUGAAGUCGGAGUCGCUAGUAAUCGCAGAUCAGCAACGCUGCGGUGAAUACGUUCCCGGGGCUUGUACACACCGCCCGUCAAGUCAUGAAAGUUGGUAACACCCGAAGCCGGUGGCCUAACCGUUGUGGGGGAGCCGUCGAAGGUGGGACUGGA
rnacentral:rRNA from 1 species